UGGGGAGUAUUGCACAAUGGGGAAGACCCUGAUGCAGCAACGCCGCGUGAAGGAAGAAGGUCUUCGGAUUGUAAACUUCUGUCCUCAGGGAAGAUAAUGACGGUACCUGAGGAGGAAGCUCCGGCUAACUACGUGCCAGCAGCCGCGGUAAUACGUAGGGAGCGAGCGUUGUCCGGAUUUACUGGGUGUAAAGGGUGCGUAGGCGGAUAGGCAAGUCAGUGGUGAAAUCUAUGGGCUUAACCCAUAAACUGCCAUUGAAACUGUUUAUCUUGAGUGGAGUAGAGGCAGGCGGAAUUCCCGGUGUAGCGGUGAAAUGCGUAGAGAUCGGGAGGAACACCAGUGGCGAAGGCGGCCUGCUGGGCUUUAACUGACGCUGAGGCACGAAAGUGUGGGUAGCAAACAGGAUUAGAUACCC
rnacentral:rRNA from 1 species